GCCAGGAAGAGCAAGAAUUGAGGGCCUUAGAGUAGUGGGAAUGGGAACAUGCAGGAAAACCCAAAUUUAGUUUGGUGUUGGAGGUGAUAACUUGGUUUGGUAUUUCCCGAUGCCUCUCAUUCCUAUUGUUCUAAAGUACUCCUUCCUCUUAAUUUUU
rfam:Hordeum vulgare subsp. vulgare, WGS project CAJW01000000 data, contig: morex_contig_1562318